CACGUAGGCACCAAGCGUUGUCCGGAUUUAUUGGGCGUAAAGAGCUCGUAGGCGGCUCAGUAAGUCAGGUGUGAAAACUCCAGGCUCAACCUGGAGACGCCACCUGAUACUGCUGUGGCUAGAGUCCGGUAGGGGAGCAUGGAAUUCCUGGUGUAGCGGUGAAAUGCGCAGAUAUCAGGAGGAACACCGGUGGCGAAGGCGGGUCUCUGGGCCGAUACUGACGCUGGAGGAGCGAAAGCGUGGGAGCGAACAGG
rnacentral:rRNA from 1 species